AGACGGAGGGGGCUAGCGUUGUUCGGAUUUACUGGGCGUAAAGGGCGCGUAGGCGGAUUAGUAAGUUGGGAGUGAAAGCCCGGGGCUCAACCUCGGAACUGCUUUCAAAACUGCUAGUCUAGAGUGAAGUAGGGGGUGAUGGAAUUCCUAGUGUAGAGGUGAAAUUCUUAGAUAUUAGGAGGAACACCGGUGGCGAAGGCGGUCACCUGGACUUCAACUGACGCUGAGGCGCGAAAGCGUGGGGAGCAAACAGAAUUAGAAACCCUAGUAGUCC
rnacentral:rRNA from 1 species